UACGUAGGGGGCAAGCGUUGUUCGGAUUCAUUGGGCGUAAAGGGUGCGUAGGUGGCGUCGUAAGUCGGGUGUGAAAUUUACGGAGCUUAACUCCGAAACUGCAUUCGAUACUGCGGUGCUUGAGGACUGGGAGAGGAGACUGGAAUUCAUGGUGUAGCAGUGAAAUGCGUAGAGAUCGGAAAGAACACCAACGGCGAAAGCACUCUGCUGGGCCGACACUGACACUGAGAGACGGAAAGCUAGGGGAGCGAAUGGG
rnacentral:rRNA from 1 species